UACGUAGGGUGCAAGCGUUACUCGGAAUCACUGGGCGUAAAGCGCACGUAGGCGGACUUACAGGUCAAUUGUGAAAUACCUGGGCUCAACCCAGGAACUGCAGUUGAAACCGUUUGUCUUGAAUACCUGAGAGGGUGGGGGAAUACCUGGUGGAGAAGUGAAAUUCGUAGAGAUCAGGUGGAACACCGGAGGCGAAGGCGCCUGCCUGGCAGUGUAUUGACGCUGAGGUGCGAAAGUGCGGGGAGCAAGCAGG
rnacentral:rRNA from 1 species